AGUGAACGCUGGCGGUAGACCUAACACAUGCAAGUCGAACGGCAGCACAGUAAGAGCUUGCUCUUACGGGUGGCGAGUGGCGGACGGGUGAGGAAUACAUCGGAAUCUACUUUUUCGUGGGGGAUAACGUAGGGAAACUUACGCUAAUACCGCAUACGACCUACGGGUGAAAGCAGGGGAUCUUCGGACCUUGCGCGAUUGAAUGAGCCGAUGUCGGAUUAGCUAGUUGGCGGGGUAAAGGCCCACCAAGGCGACGAUCCGUAGCUGGUCUGAGAGGAUGAUCAGCCACACUGAACUGAGACACGGUCCAGACUCCUACGGGAGGCAGCAGUGGGGAAUAUUGGACAAUGGGCGCAAGCCUGAUCCAGCCAUACCGCGUGGGUGAAGAAGGCCUUCGGGUUGUAAAGCCCUUUUGUUGGGAAAGAAAAGCAGCAGGUUAAUACCCCGCUGUUCUGACGGUACCCAAAGAAUAAGCACCGGCUAACUUCGUG
rnacentral:rRNA from 1 species